GGACGUGGCGGAGGCUACACAUGCAGGUCGAGCGCGCCUUCGGGUGAGCGGCGGACGGGUUAGUAACGCGUGGGAACGUGCCCUUCUCUACGGAAUAGCCUCUGGAAACGGAGAGUAAUACCGUAUACGCCCUUUGGGGGAAAGAUUUAUCGGAGAAGGAUCGGCCCGCGUUAGAUUAGGUAGUUGGUGGGGUAACGGCCUACCAAGCCUACGAUCUAUAGCUGGUUUUAGAGGAUGAUCAGCAACACUGGGACUGAGACACGGCCCAGACUCCUACGGGAGGCAGCAGUGGGGAAUCUUAGACAAUGGGGGCAACCCUGAUCUAGCCAUGCCGCGUGAGUGAUGAAGGCCUUAGGGUCGUAAAGCUCUUUCGCCUGUGAUGAUAAUGACAGUAGCAGGUAAAGAAACCCCGGCUAACUCCGUGCCAGCAGCCGCGGUAAUACGGAGGGGGUUAGCGUUGUUCGGAAUUACUGGGCGUAAAGCGCGCGUAGGCGGAUUAGAAAGUUGGGGGUGAAAUCCCGGGGCUCAACCCCGGAACUGGCUCCAAAACUGCUAGUCUAGAGUUCGAGAGAGGUGAGUGGAAUUCCGAGUGUAGAGGUGAACUUCGUAGAUAUUCCGGAGGAACCCCAGUGGCGGAGGGCGGGUCACUGGCUCCGAUCUGACGCCGAGGUGCGACAGUGGGGGGAGCAAACAGGAUUUGAUACCCUGGGUACGUCAACAC
rnacentral:rRNA from 1 species